CUAGACUGGGAUAACAUUGGGAAACUGGUGCUAAUACCGGAUAAGAUUUUUUUGUGGCAUCACAAAGGGAUGAAAAGAGGCCUCUCCAUGGAAGCUCCUGCUAGAAGACAAGCCCGCGGCUGAUUAGCUAGUUGGUGAGGUAAUGGCUCACCAAGGCGACGAUCAGUAGCCGGCCUGAGAGGGUGAACGGCCACACUGGGACUGAGACACGGCCCAGACUCCUACGGGAGGCAGCAGUGGGGAAUAUUGCGCAAUGGGGGAAACCCUGACGCAGCAACGCCGCGUGAAUGAAGAAGGCCUUCGGGUUGUAAAGUUCUGUCAAUUGGGAAGAAACCUCUGAGGUCAAUAGCCUUAGAGAUGACGGUACCUAAGAAGGAAGCUCCGGCUAACUACGUGCCAGCAGCCGC
rnacentral:rRNA from 1 species